GUGAAAGCGUGGCCUAUCGAUCC
rnacentral:sRNA from 1 species